AGCGCUAUUUAGGUUAGAGUUUGAUCAUGGCUCAGAGCGAACGCUGGCGGCGUGCUUAACACAUGCAAGUCGAGUGCGCGUCUGUAGCAAUACAGAUGGCGCACGGCGCACGGGUGCGUAACACGUGGGUAAUCUGCCCUUCGAUGGGGAAUAACUCCGGGAAACCGAAGCUAAUUCCGCAUAACAUUCCUUGAACUUCGGUUUGGGGACUCAAAGCCGUAAGGCGUCGGAGGAGGAACCCGCGCACGAUUAGUUAGUUGGCAGGGUAACGGCCUACCAAGACUUUGAUCGUUAGCUGGUCUGAGAGGAUGGCCAGCCACACUGGAACUGAGACACGGUCCAGACUCCUACGGGAGGCAGCAGUGGGGAAUCUUGCACAAUGGGCGAAAGCCUGAUGCAGCGACGCCGCGUGGGGGAUGAAGCUUUUCGGAGUGUAAACCCCUUUCGACCCGGACGAAUACCUCGCAAGAGGGGUGACGGUACGGGUAUAAGAAGCCCCGGCUAACUACGUGCCAGCAGCCGCGGUAAUCGCC
rnacentral:rRNA from 1 species